rnacentral:rRNA from 1 species
GAGUAAUAUAUCGGAACGUACCCAAGAGUGGGGGAUAACGUAGCGAAAGUUACGCUAAUACCGCAUACGAUCUAUGGAUGAAAGUGGGGGAUCGCAAGACCUCAUGCUCCUGGAGCGGCCGAUAUCUGAUUAGCUAGUUGGUGAGGUAAAGGCUCACCAAGGCGACGAUCAGUAGCUGGUCUGAGAGGACGACCAGCCACACUGGAACUGAGACACGGUCCAGACUCCUACGGGAGGCAGCAGUGGGGAAUUUUGGACAAUGGGCGCAAGCCUGAUCCAGCAAUGCCGCGUGAGUGAAGAAGGCCUUCGGGUUGUAAAGCUCUUUUGUCAGGGAAGAAACGGCUCGAGCUAAUAUCUUGGGCUAAUGACGGUACCUGAAGAAUAAGCACCGGCUAACUACGUGCCAGCAGCCGCGGUAAUACGUAGGGUGCAAGCGUUAAUCGGAAUUACUGGGCGUAAAGCGUGCGCAGGCGGUUUUGUAAGUCUGUCGUGAAAGCCCCGGGCUCAACCUGGGAAUUGCGAUGGAG